rnacentral:rRNA from 1 species
GCGCCAGACUCCUACGGGAGGCAGCGGUGGGGAAUAUUGCACAAUGGGGGAAACCCUGAUGCAGCGACGCCGCGUGAGUGAAGAAGUAUUUCGGUAUGUAAAGCUCUAUCAGCAGGGAAGAAAAUGACGGUACCUGAUUAAGAAGCCCCGGCUAACUACGUGCCAGCAGCCGCGGUAAUACGUAGGGGGCAAGCGUUAUCCGGAUUUACUGGGUGUAAAGGGAGCGCAGACGGCAGUGCAAGUCUGGAGUGAAAGCCCGGGGCUCAACCAUGGAACUGCUUUGGAAACUGUGCAGCUGGAGUGCAGGAGAGGUAAGCGGAAUUCCUAGUGUAGCGGUGAAAUGCGUAGAUAUUAGGAGGAACACCAGUGGCGAAGGCGGCUUACUGGACUGUAACUGACGUUGAGGCUCGAAAGCGUGGGGAGCAAACAGGAUUAGAUACCCUAGUA